ACUCCUACGGGAGGCAGCAGUGGGGAAUAUUGCACAAUGGGCGCAAGCCUGAUGCAGCCAUGCCGCGUGUGUGAAGAAGGCCUUCGGGUUGUAAAGUACUUUCUAGUCGUGAGGAAGGCGGCGUCGUUAAUAGCGGCGUUGUUUGACGUUAGCGACAGAAGAAGCACCGGCUAACUCCGUGCCAGCAGCCGCGGUAAUACGGAGGGUGCGAGCGUUAAUCGGAAUUACUGGGCGUAAAGCGCAUGCAGGUGGUUUGUUAAGUCAGAUGUGAAAGCCCGGGGCUCAACCUCGGAAUUGCAUUUGAAACUGGCAGACUAGAGUAUUGUAGAGGGGGUUAGAAUUUCAGGUGUAGCGGUGAAAUGCGUAGAGAUCGUGAAGGAAUACCGGUGGCGAAGGCGGCCCCUGGACAGAUACUGACACUCAGAUGCGAAAGCGUGGGAGCAAACAGGAUUAGAUACCCCGUGGUAGGACAGUG
rnacentral:rRNA from 1 species